GUCUCAUUCGGAUCGGAGUCUGCAACCCGACUCCGUGAAGCUGGAUUCGCUAGUAAUCGCGCAUCAGCCAUGGCGCGGUGAAUACGUUCCCGGGCCUUGUACACACCGCCCGUCAAGCCAUGGGAGCCGGGGGUGCUUGAAGUGCGUCGCCGCAAGGCGCGCCCUAGAGCAAAACCGGUGACUGGGGCUAAGUCGUAACAAGGUAUC
rnacentral:rRNA from 1 species